rnacentral:rRNA from 1 species
GACGAACGCUGGCGGCGUGCUUAACACAUGCAAGUCGAACGGAAAGGCCCUGCUUUUGUGGGGUGAUCGAGUGCCGAACGGGUGAGUAACACGUGAGUAACCUGCCCUUGAUUUUGGGAUAACUUCAGGAAACUGGGGCUAAUAUCGGAUAGGAUCUCCUGUUGCAUGGUGGGGGUUGGAAAGUUUCGGCGGUUGGGGAUGGACUCGCCGCUUAUCAGCUUGUUGGUUGGGUAGUGGCUUACCAAGGCUUUGACGGGUAGCCGACCUGAGAGGGUGACCGGCCACAUUGCGCCUACGAUACGCACCAGUCUCCUACGGGGGGCAACAGGCGGAAAUAUUACCCACUGGGAGGGAGCCUGCUGCAGCCACCCCGCGUGCGUAAAGACCGCCUUCGGGUUGAAAACCGCUUUAGGUUAAGACGCCGCGUGAGUGACGGUACUGAGUGAAGAAGCACCGGCUAACUACGUG